UUUCCUUUUUUUCUUCUUCCCUUCGUUCCUUAUUUCCUCCCGAGCCCUUCUCUUCUUCUUCACCGUGACACCACGAUUCCUUCUCCUGGACUCAUCACCGCCGGCCGAAGCUCCUCUUCCUCCUCUUCCUUUCCGAGUCACACCACCGAGCUCUCCCUUCUUCAUCGCGUCGCUACCUCUUCCUUCCUCCUCAGAAUCCAAGCUUCCCUCUCCCGAUCGGCUGCUUGUGCCCUAGCUCCAGAUCAGUCGCCUCUCCCUCAGCCGACUCUCCUGCCCUCUACUCAAGCAUCGCUGACCUUGACUCCAAGGUCCACGAUUGGCCAGUCGAACCCUAGGUCUGUUCCCUGAGCGUCGAUUGCCUUCCCUCUGCCUAGCUCCUGAUCCUCUACCGACCAGAGUUGGACUUUUCCCUAUUCGCUAGCCACGAGGAAGACACAGGUGGUAACCAUCCCAACCACAGUACCUACUGCCGUCGUGCCCUAGAUCGCCGGCGUGAGGAGGUGUUUGGGAAUCCGAGGAUACCCGAUAGAUAUAUGUGGAGUCGCUUGGAGUAUCCUGUCUGCCAGUCCUGGGUCACAUCCGAAGACCCGUUUUAUGGUUUCAUUUGUACUUUAUUUGUUUACUGUAUUAAAUGUGCUUAGCGUUGUAUUUUUUCCAGAUUUGAUUUCUAAAUCAUUGUGAUGUGGUGUUUUGUGUUGUUGGAUGUGUUGUGUAAGCCUAGCCGGCUAGUAAUCUUGUUUUUGGUUUGUAUGAUUUUCUAUCAUUUUUUUGUCGUGUU